UUUUCACCUCUCUUCCUUGCAAAGAGAGCUACUCUCUGGGAGCUCUCCUCAGGACGACUUGAUCCCCGUCUUUCUGCGUCCAUGAUGUUUGCCUACUACAUUUGAGCUGCUUUGUCUACCCAUUCAAAGGCUAUAUAGUGUUGGGCAUGGAUGAAGAGUCCACCAAGGCAGCCAUUGAGGACACUACUGUGGGGAUCUAUAUUAUCAAAGAUAAUGAGGAGGAACCAGAGGACACUGGGAUUAUUCUUGAAGGCGUCAAGGUGCUGCAGAAUCUGGGCAACGUAGCAUUUGCUGUUGCAAUGCUGUUCGGCCUCAUGUAUGCCAUGAACCUCGUUCCACUACCGAGCUCCGCUACACUUGAACUCUUUCAGAAAAACGUAUGGAACUGAAUGGGGGAAAACUUUAACAAAGCUGUUGCAUUUUUUUUUUUAAAAGCCUGUUUCAGUGAGCCGUUUUGUUGUGUGUUUCACGUCAUAUGUUUGACUUACUUUGAACUUGUUAGAUUGUUCACAAAAACUCCAAACAGAAUGAGCAUGUUUAAAGAUGGCGCUGUCGUGAUUUUGUUAGACAUUUUGUAUGGUGUUUUGAGUAGAUGCCCUUAGUUUUCUUUGCUGCUUAUGGAAAAAGUUCAGUUUCACUUUGUAGUGACUUUUAGUCAAUAGAAUUAACAUGCACCAACAUGUACACAUACCUACCUCAUCCUUUGUCUGUUACUCCUUAUGAAGAAUAACUACCUAAUUUUGUAACAAAAUGCAUUAGUGUGUGACCAAUCAUUGACAGGACAAUUCUUUUUUUUAUACAGAUAUAUAGCCUACAUUACCGUGAUGUAGACCUGUGCAAUUCAUUGAACGCUGAAUGUCAGUAAAUGGACAUUUGUCAUUCCAAAGUAAUACAUUCAUUUUUGAAACACAUGCCUUUUGCCUUUUUGUCAUUGAUGCAAAUGUUCUUUUGCUCCUUUGUUACACAUCUUUAGCAUGUACAUCUUUAGCAUAUUUCUCUAAUCAUUUGUGAGAAUACACACACUAAGGUAGAAAAUGGCAG